UACGUAGGGGGCGAGCGUUGUCCGGAGUUACUGGGCGUAAAGCGCUUGUAGGCGGUCCACCAAGUUUGGGGUGACAGUUGCCGACUUAAUCGGCAAAGUGCCUCAAAGACUGGCGGACUUGAGGGCCACAGAGGGACAUGGAACUCCAGGUGUAGUGGUGAAAUGCGUAGAUAUCUGGAAGAACACCAAAGGCGAAGGCAGAGUCCUGGGUGGUCGCUGACGCUGAGAGGCGAAAGCCAGGGGAGCGAACGGG
rnacentral:rRNA from 1 species